rnacentral:rRNA from 1 species
CCAGAGAACUUUCCAGAGAUGGAUUGGUGGCCUUCGGGAACUCUGAGACAGGUGCUGCAUGGCUGUCGUCAGCUCGUGUUGUGAAAUGUUGGGUUAAGUCCCGCAACGAGCGCAACCCUUAUCCUUUGUUGCCAGCGGUUAGGCCGGGAACUCAAAGGAGACUGCCAGUGAUAAACUGGAGGAAGGUGGGGAUGACGUCAAGUCAUCAUGGCCCUUACGAGUAGGGCUACACACGUGCUACAAUGGCGCAUACAAAGAGAAGCGACCUCGCGAGAGCAAGCGGACCUCAUAAAGUGCGUCGUAGUCCGGAUUGGAGUCUGCAACUCGACUCCAUGAAGUCGGAAUCGCUAGUAAUCGUGGAUCAGAAUGCCACGGUGAAUACGUUCCCGGGCCUUGUACACACCGCCCGUCACACCAUGGGAGUGGGUUGCAAAAGAAGUAGGUAGCUUAACCUUCGGGAGGGCGCUUACCACUUUGUGAUUCAUGACUGGGGUGAAGUCGUAACAAGGUAAGCGUAGUGCU